CCCAAUUGAACUCUUUCUGAAAGUUCAAGGAUCGAAGAUAAAAUAUUCCUCCACUUUGUCCAUCUUCCCCUCACCUCUCUCUAAACCCUAACUUCUCAAAUUGUCAUCUUUCCAAAAUUUAUCCCGUCUGCAAUACAGAAAUGGCGAGAAAAUUGUUUAUAUCAUUAAUCUUCUUCUUGUUCUCAUUAUCAUCCGCAAAACCCACAGAAUCAGAUUCUCAAUCCUCCCCAUCAUCUUCAAUAUACGACGUGCUGGAAUCCCAUGGACUCCCAAUUGGCAUUUUCCCUAAGGGCGUUUCCAAUUUCACCCUCGACCCCGCCUCCGGCAAUUUUCAGCUCAAUUUGUUGUCCCCUGUCCCGUGCGACACGAAAUUCGAGACCACGGUUCGGUAUGAAUGUGAAAUUAAAGGAACAAUUGCGUAUGGGCAGAUUGCUAAUUUGUCGGGUUUAGCGGCACAGGAAUUGUUUCUUUGGCUGCCUGUUAAGAGCAUACGAGUGGAAAUACCGAGUUCUGGUUUGAUUUAUUUUGAUGUCGGUGUAGUGUUUAAGCAAUUCUCUUUGUCGUUUUUCGAGACGCCUAAGGAUUGUAAUGUUUUGGAGAAGGGAGACAUAGGAAAUUCAAUUGUUUUGUUUGAUCACAGCAGGCGAAUUGUUGAGGUUGGUAAAUUUUAAUCAUUUUUAUUUUUGUUUUUAGUUAUUAAUAUUUUCAAUCUUUUAGUUAAUUCGUUGUUUCAAAUGGAUAAAGACGAAGUAGAAUUCGUUGGUUUUUGGCAUAUUGUGUUGUUUUCUUCGUUUUUGUUCUAAAUUAUCUUGAAUUUACUUUUUGCGGGUAAUCAUGGAAUGCAUUUUUUAUUGCCAGUUGAAUUGAGGUUUAAUGGAAAUUUUUAGGGAUAUUAUAUCACGUGAUCCUUUUCCAUUUGUCCUUAAUCUUAUGAAGUUACAUUCAUAAUUCACAUCUUAUAUAUGAUAAGAUGCAUUCUAUAUUUUGUAAAGAAUGUACCUAUCAAAAUAAUAAUAAUAAUAAAAUAAAAUAAAUAAAUUGUAAAGAAUGAAUAAAAUUCUUUGUGCCUGGCCUUUACUGGUUUCCUCAUGCAUAUAUUUGCUUAUGAAACUUUUGUCCAUUGUGGUUGAUAUCAACUUAUGAACCCUGAUUUUUUUUUUUUCAUUGCAAUUGAUAAGUUGCACCAGAGAGUUGAUUGUAAAAUUAACUCAAUCAACUUUAGAGCUUAUUUGUUAUGCACAUGUGCGUCUCCCAAAAAUUUUUAAGGAGAAAUAAGUUGGAGACAAUCAUUGAAUAUAAGAAAGUGCCAACAGGCAUCUAGUAUUUCUGGGUCAGUGUAUGCAACUAUUUUUUUUUGAAUAGACAUGUAAUUUGUGCUUCGUCAAAAUUUAAUGGGUAUUUACAAUUGGAGGGAAUUUUAAUUGCUAAUCUUUAUCUGUGAUUUCAUCAUUCAUACUAAGCACCUGUUUGGCCCCAUUUUUCCAAAUUAAAAUGGGUGGAAUGGUGUUUUUUUUUUAUUUAUUUUUAUUAUUUUUAUUUUUUUUAAAGUGGUUGAAAAUGAAUUCGGUUUAUGUGUAAUAUUAUUUUAUGGAAGAUUGUGUGAUUGAAAAUAGAAGAGAGAAAGAUGAAAUUUAACUUAAUGGGAGCCAAACGGGGGCUAAUUUGCCUACUAAAUUUAUGUGUUGUUUUCAAAUACAGAAUUAUUCAUAGUUUGCAGCAAUUGGAGGACUAAAAACUAGAAGGCAUCUCGUGUUUACUUUAAGCCUACUUUGAGAAAUGGUGUUUGAAGGUUUUCUGAAUUCUGAAAAUGAGCUGUGGUGAGAGGUGAUGAAAGAGAACAAGGCUUUGUAGAGGGACAGUGGGGGGACCAUGGAGAUUACAGUCUGUCAUCCAUCUGUAAUGGUUUAAAAGUUUGUUUGGGAUUGGAUCUUCUUAAGCAUUCAUAAAAUUUAGGAAUCAGAAUAUACUGAAUUUUGGUGAAGAAUAUUUUCUCUGGAAUAUAAAUUGCAAUCUGAAUUUCAGAUGUGCAUGUGUUGACCUGAACAUAGAUUAUAUGUUGUUGAGGUAUUUAGGCUGUAACUUGGCACUGGCAGGCUCAGUUUUGAAUUUUUCUGAGGAGUAUGAAAUUGUAUUUUUAUAUUUUAUAACAAAGAAAUAAAUGAUGAAGAGUAAAGCGAAUUUUUAAAUUGGGUGACAUGCUUGAAACAACGAAUAGUGUGAGAAAUCUUUGGUCAUGUGACCGGAAAUAUUUCCACUUACAUGAACAGUAAACCCAAUGUCUUAAUUCUCGAGAAGUUUGUAACUUUUAGAUCUGGAACAGUAAUAUAUUUGGUUCCUGAUGUAUUGUUUGGCGAGGAAACAACUGAAGAGUUUGUAAGGAGUAAAAAUAUGUGGUAGUAAUUAUAGAACAUUAAGGGUCUGUUUGAUUGUGAAGAUGAAAUUUGGAUGGAAAGAAAAUGAAUUCCAGGAAAUUGAAUUACCUAAAAAUUGUUUUCCUGGGAAUUGUAAAUUUCAGGUAUAUCCUCUUUUACAAUUGUUCCUAGAAUUUGUUCUCAUUGCCAACAAUUUAAAAAAAAAAAAAAAAAAAAAAAANNNNNNNNNNNNNNNNNNNNNNNNNNNNNNNNNNNNNNNNNNNNNNNNNNNNNNNNNNNNNNNNNNNNNNNNNNNNNNNNNNNNNNNNNNNNNNNNNNNNNNNNNNNNNNNNNNNNNNNNNNNNNNNNNNNNNNGACAGGAUAUGAUCAAUAUUUGUAUAUUGUCCACAUCCUAUUGGCACUUUGGCACCAUUGGCUUAUGUCUGUACUCGUUAACGAGAGCGCGAGACAGUUUGCUCGUUUCAAUUAGGGAAAAAUGGUUAAUUUAAAUACGUUUAAAUAAGACAUGCAGAUAUGCCAGUUGAAGUUGGUUAAAACAUUUUGUAUGGCAAGUGGCCUGCUUGUUCACUACUGUGGAAAUUGAGGCGGCUUACUAUCUUAGUAUUUUGUGGGUAGAGAAGAGGUGAUACCUUUUGGCUUAAUGAAGCAUGUCCCUCCACAUUUUGUUGAAUGGGAAGAAAAUCCGUGUUUUUGUGAAGUACAGUUAUGUGAUAUUUGUAAUGGAAUGUUUAGGAGAUAAUCAGAAUAAAAGGAAUCAAGCGGGGCCACAAUUUUUUUAUUUUGUCCAACAUAUCUGCAGUCUGCAACUUGUGAAAGAGAGAGAGGAAUAAAAAACUGGCACCAGUGUGCAAAAGAACAGUAGCGGGUCAAUAGAUAUAUUCUAUGUAGCACGGACACUCUAACUAGGGUAGCGUGUCAUUGUCCGACACGUGUCGGACACGUGUCGAUAUUGACACUUUUCGGACACUCUACAAUAAUCAUUUUUCUUUCUUACUGUAGUUAUUAUGUAUUUUUAACUCAAAGUUAUUAGUAAAUAAUAAAUAAAUACUCAUAUUUAAAAGAUUUCAACAAAAAAAAUCAAUAAUAAGUAUAAAACUAGAUUUAAACUAUAUAAAUGAAGAAUUUUAAAGAACUUAAUGAACGUGUCGACAACGUGUCAUGUCGGUGCUUUUUUGAAGAAUCACGAGUCGACGUAUUCGACACGUAUCGUGUCGGACACACGUGUCUGUGUCGGUGAGCUGAUAGAUUAUUGUUAAAUCAUUCGAGUUGCACUGACUGAUUUUGGAGUCUAAAAAAAGCUCUUGUUUUUACCUUCAAAUUGAUGUCAUUUGUUUAUUUUCUUCUUGUGCCUUGGCCAACCCGGAAGAGAAAAGGAAGGUACUUGCAAUCGCAUGAUACUAAAUUUAAUUGCCAUUUUAUUGCAGAAUCAAUCUGGAGGGGGUGGUCAGAAAACACUUUGGGGACUAUGCACGGAGAGCUGUUGCAUGAACUAUAGAGGCAAAUACGAGUGGAUCUAAUGAGGCGAAGAAGUGACAUUUUAUAUUCUUGAUUGCUCGCUUACACUUUAGGAUAUUUACCCUAAGCUUCCUCUAUAUGCAGAGCAAGGUUUCAGUUUUGUAGAUGACAGGGAGAACAAGCUCACGAGAACUAGUUUUACCUUUUGGUGAAUCGGUGGUAAGGUUUAAUUCUUGAGGAUUUGUGUUGUAUAAUUAUCUCAAGAUAAAUGUUAGUUCUUGUUAAGCUGUUUAAAUGCAUGUAUAAUGUUGUAUGGAGUUUUUUUUAAUCAAGAAAACAAAUUGAUCAUUGUAGGGUGAACAAGAAAACUGCCGAUAGCGAACACGAAUGCGGUUUUGAAACCAUUGGGUUGGCGGACCUGUCAACAUUUUGGUUCAGAACAGAAUCAAGUCAUUAGGAAAUUGUUUGGUUUAAGUUUCGAUUUUUGAAAACUCUAGAAAUCAACUGAAAUGUUCACUUAUUUAUUAGUUUAAUAUACUUCAACAAAUUUAAUAAUUGUUAGAGAGCUUUAAUGGAAUUUUAGGAAAAUAAUAAUUUGUAAGAAUAUUUUCUUGUCUUUUGAAGUGG
rnacentral:lncRNA from 1 species